rnacentral:rRNA from 1 species
UUACGGGAGGCAGCAGUGGGGAAUCUUCCGCAAUGGACGAAAGUCUGACGGAGCAACGCCGCGUGGGUGAAGAAGGCCUUCGGGUUGUAAAGCCCUGUCUUCAGGGACGAAGGAAAUGACGGUACCUGAGGAGGAAGCCACGGCUAACUACGUGCCAGCAGCCGCGGUAAUACGUAGGUGGCAAGCGUUGUCCGGAAUCACUGGGCGUAAAGGGCGCGUAGGCGGGUUUUUAAGUCAGAUGUGAAAUAUGCGGGCUCAACCCGGAGUAUGCAUCUGAUACUGGAGAUCUUGAGUGCAGGAGAGGACAGUGGAAUUCCUAGUGUAGCGGUGAAAUGCGUAGAUAUUAGGAGGAACACCAGUGGCGAAGGCGGCUGUCUGGACUGUAACUGACGCUGAGGCGCGAAAGCGUGGGGAGCAAACAGGAUUAGAUACCCGGGUAGUCCG